GCCAGCGUGACACAGUGGUUUGAGGGUUGGACUAGGACGCUGGAGACCUAGGUUCGAAUCCCUGCUCAGCCA
rnacentral:tRNA from 1 species